rnacentral:rRNA from 1 species
GGUGAACGCUGGCGGCGUGCCUAAGACAUGCAAGUCGAGCGGGCCGCGGGGUUUUACUCCGUGGUCAGCGGCGGACGGGUGAGUAACGCGUGGGUGACCUACCCGGAAGAGGGGGACAACCCGGGGAAACUCGGGCUAAUCCCCCAUGUGGACCCGCCCCUUGGGGUGUGUCCAAAGGGCUUUGCCCGCUUCCGGAUGGGCCCGCGUCCCAUCAGCUAGUUGGUGGGGUAAUGGCCCACCAAGGCGACGACGGGUAGCCGGCCUGAGAGGGUGGCCGGCCACAGGAGCACUGAGACACAGGCCUCACUCCUACGGGAGGCAGCAGUUAGGAAUCUUCCGCAAUAGGCGCAAGCCUGACGGUGCGACGCCGCUUGGAGGAAGAAGCCCUUCGGGGUGUAAACUCCUGAACCCGGGACGAAACCCCCGACGAGGGGACUGACGGUACCGGGGUAAUAGCGCCGGCCAACUCCGUG